CCUACGGGUGGCAGCAGUGAGGAAUAUUGGUCAAUGGGCUUACGCCUGAACCAGCCAAGUCGCGUGAGGGAAGACUGCCCUAUGGGUUGUAAACCUCUUUUGUCAGGGAGCAACGCCGGCUACGUGUAGCCGGACUGAGAGUACCUGAAGAAAAGGCAUCGGCUAACGCCGUGCCAGCGGCCGCGGUAAUACGGAGGAUGCGAGCGUUAUCCGGAUUUAUUGGGUUUAAGGGGUGCGUAGGCGGAAUGCCAAGUCAGCGGUAAAAUCGCGGGGCUCAACCUCGCUGAGCCGUUGAAACUGGCGUGCUUGAGUGGGAGAGAAGUAUGCGGAAUGCGUGGUGUAGCGGUGAAAUGCAUAGAUAUCACGCAGAACCCCGAUUGCGAAGGCAGCAUACCGGCGCCCAACUGACGCUGAAGCACGAAAGCGUGGGUAUCGAACAGGAUUAGAUACCCGAGUAGUC
rnacentral:rRNA from 1 species